AUUGAACGCUGGCGGCAGGCCUAACACAUGCAAGUCGAGCGAGCGGCGGACGGGUGAGUAAUGUCUGGGAAACUGCCUGAUGGAGGGGGAUAACUCCUGGAAACGGUAGCUAAUACCACCUACCAUCAGAUGUGCCCAGGUGGGAUUAGCUAGUCGGUGGGGUAACGGCUCACCUAGGCGACGAACCCUAGCUGGUCUGAGCGGAUGCCCAGCCACACUGGAACUGAUACACGGUCCAGACUCCUACGGGAGGCAGCAGUGGGGAAUAUUGCACAAUGGGCGCAAGCCUGAUGCAGCCAUGCCGUGUGUGUGAAGAAGGCCUUCGGGUUGUAAAGCACUUUCAGCGGGGAGGCGUUACCCGCAGAAGAAGCACCGGCUAACUCCGUGCCAGCAGCCGCGGUAAUUC
rnacentral:rRNA from 1 species